GGGGCCUCGGCCGGGAGGGAGGAGCGCUAGGAGGAAGAGGCCCGGCCGGGAGAGCCCCGGCCUCGGGAGAGAGCAGAGGGGGCCGAGCAUUUCCUGGGGCAUUCCCGGCCCGCCGGACUGACUCUCUCGGCCAAGGAAAUUCCCGGCCAGCCCCGACCCCCAAGCCGCUGUGGACCCAGAUGAGCCAGCUGACCGAAGCUGGCUGGAGCAUCACGUGGUCCAUCAGUACUGGACAGCCAGGCCCUCCCAGUUUUCUUAUAGCUUACAUUUGCACUCCAGUUUAGCUGCUAUCUGGGACCAUCACUUGUACAGCAGUGAUCCAUUGUAUGUUCCAGAUGACAGGAUUUUGGUUACCAAGACUCAAGUUAUUCUGGAAACCCUGUGAGCUGUUUACGAUCUGUGCUGGAACAAAUAGCAGCGUAUGGCCAGGUUGUAUUUCGACUCCAGGAGUUCAUUGAUGAAGUCAUGGGACACAGUUCUGAAAGCAUGCUGCCUGGAAGUGGGUCUGUUCCUAAGAAGUCACCUGAAGCUCCCUUUAGAACCUACCAGGCUUUCAUGUGAGCCCUGUACAUAUACUUCAUUGGUUUCAAAGAGGAACUUGCAGAAAUUGAGAAGUGCAUCAUCAAUAAUGGUGCUACAAUAACUCUUGCGAUAGUGGUGGACAAGUUGUCACCUCAAUUGGCUCAACUCAAGGUUCGCACAGAGUGUUCAGUACCAGAGUAGCAGAAGUUCCACCUGAUACUCAAAAUGUCUGGGCCUCUCACCUGCUCAAUACCCUGUACAAGGCCAUUCUCGAAUAUGACAAUGUUGGAGAGGCCUCUGAGCAAACCGUAUGUGAGACUUCUGCCUAAAGUGUGUGACUCCAUUCUGCACAGCAGAGGGGUGGGAGACAGCUGCUCAUGGUUCUGUGUUAAUGAUACUUGAAUGGUGACUUGUUGGACAGUUCAGAGUUUUCAAAUUAGCUUCCAAAUUUGAGGCUGUAGGAAACUAGCUUUUCAGCUCUAAUUGCCAAGAUCCUCAGAAGGAUGAGGCAAGGGCAAAGCAACAUGUUUCUCGAGAAAUACCUAGCUGAUGUGUAUAGACAUUUAUAAUAAUUCUUUCUUACAUAAAAACUAAGUCUAUUACAUGAAGUAUCUGAAGUAGUCAUAUUCACAGAAACAAAGUGGAAUGGUGGUUACCAAGGACUGAGGAAUAGGGAGCUGUUAUUUAAUGGGUACAGAAUUUCAGUUUUAUGACAUGAAAAGUUGUGGAGAUUUGUCACAACGAUGUGAAUGUACUUAAAA